GUUAUAUGGUCAAGUGAAUAAGCGCAUACGGUGGAUGCCUUGGCGGCAGGAGGCGAUGAAGGACGUUGUAGCUUGCGAUAAGCCUCGGGGAGUCAGCAAACAGACUUUGAUCCGGGGAUUUCCGAAUGGGGAAACCCACCGCUUCGGCGGUAUCUGCACCUGAAUANNCAGGCUUUGACCCGGGGAUUUCCGAAUGGGGAAACCCACCUGUUUGAGGUAUCCCUGUCUGAAUACAUAGGGCAGUGGAGGCGAACCCGGGGAACUGAAACAUCUAAGUACCCGGAGGAAAAGAAAUCAACCGAGAUUCCCUUAGUAGCGGCGAGCGAACGGGGAUUAGCCCUUAAGCUUUUUUUGGUUUAGCGGAACGCUCUGGAAAGUGCGGCCAUAGUGGGUGAUAGCCCCGUACGCGAAAGGCCAAUUUAAGUGAAAUCGAGUAGGGCGGGACACGUGUUAUCCUGUCUGAAUAUGGGGGGACCAUCCUCCAAGG
rnacentral:rRNA from 2 species